rnacentral:rRNA from 1 species
GUCUUUUUGAGUUAUUUUUAAAGUCUGACCUGCCCACUGAAUAUUUUUAAAUGGCCGCAGUAUUCUAACUGUGCAAAGGUAGCAUAAUCAUUAGUCUUUUAAUUGAAGGCUGGUAUGAACGGUUGGACGAAGUAUAAGCUGUUUCAUAUAAAAUUAUAUUAGAAUUUUAUAUUUUAGUUAAAAAGCUAAAAUAUUAUUAAAAGACGAGAAGACCCUAUAAAUCUUUAUAUUUAAUAUUAUCCAAAUUUUUUUGAUUAAUUUUAUUUUUAUAAUAUUAAAUAUUUUGUUGGGGUGAUAUUAAAAUUUAACAAACUUUUAAUUUUGAAUUAGAACAUUAAUUUAUGAAUAGUUGAUCCAUUAUUAAUGAUUAUAAGAUUAAGUUACUUUAGGGAUAACAGCGUAAUUUUUUUUGAGAGUUCAUAUCGACAAAAAAGUUUGCGACCUCGAUGUUGGAUUAAGAUAUAUAUUUAGGUGUAGCCGUUUAAAUAUUAAGUCUGUUCGACUUUUAAAUUCUUACAUGAUCUGAGUUCAA